rnacentral:rRNA from 1 species
AUGGCCACCUCCGGCCACAUCGUCGUCGACUUCGGCACCGAUGAAGAUGCUUCGGCGGGUCAGCCGCCCGUCGCGCCAGUGCCGUACCGGCUGUCCUUCACUGACCUGUCGUACACCGUCAGGACGCGCGGCGGCAGGCUGGCGAGCCUGCUGUCCCGCGCCAGGGCGUCCACGGAUUCGCCAUCACCGUCAACCACCAGGGCGCUGCUGGACGGCAUCUCCGGCGAGGCCCGGGAAGGGGAGCUCUUCGCUGUGAUGGGCGCCAGCGGGUCCGGCAAGUCUACCCUCGUCGACGCGCUCGCCGGCCGGAUCGAGCGGGAGAGCCUCCACGGCACCGUCACUCUCAACGGCGAGCCCCUCCACGGCCGCCGCCUCCGCGCCAUCUCCGCGUACGUCAUGCAGGACGAUCUGCUGUACCCGAUGCUCACGGUGCGGGAGACGCUGAUGUACGCCGCUGAGUUCCGCCUCUCCCGCGCGCUCUCCCCGGCAAGGAAGCGCGAACGCGUCGACGCGCUCAUCUACCAGCUCGGCCUCACCAGCGCUGCCGACACCGUCAUCGGCGACGAGGGGCACCGUGGGGUGUCAGGAGGCGAGAGACGCCGUGUCUCCAUCGGCACGGACAUCAUCCACGACCCGAUCCUGCUGUUCCUCGACGAGCCCACCUCCGGGCUCGACUCGGCGAGCGCGUUCAUGGUGGUACAGGUGCUCCUCGACAUCGCGCGGAGCGGCAGCGUCGUUGUGAUGACCAUCCACCAGCCCAGCGCUCGGAUCCUCGGCAUCCUUGGCCGCCUCCUGCUCCUCUCUCGCGGCCGCACCGUCUACGCCGGCACGCCUGCCGGCCUCAUACCCUUCUUCCACGAGUUCGGCAAGCCCAUCCCGGAGAACGAGAACCCGGCCGAGUUCGCGCUGGACACCAUCAGAGAACUCGAGCGCCAGCCUGAUGGCGCUGCGCUGCUCGCCGACUUCAACGCCAGGUGGCAAGCAGACCACAGGAUCAUCGAGACUGUCAACACGAUGCCGCUAGAGGUCGCCAUAUCCGAGAGCGUCUGUCGUGGGAAGCUGGUGGCCGGGACUGUCACAGGGACGGCGUCGUCGGUGCCGACGUACGCGAACCCGCUGACGGUGGAGGUGUGGGUGCUGAUCAAGCGCUCCUUCACCAACACGCGGCGCAUGCCGGAGCUCUUCGGCAUGCGCCUGAGCACCAUCAUGAUGACGGGGCUCAUCCUGGCGACCAUCUUCCUGCGCCUCGACGACACGCCCAAGGGCGUCCAGGAGCGGCUGGGCUUCUUCGCCAUGGGAAUGUCCACCAUGUUCUACGUCUGCGCUGACGCGCUGCCUGUCUUCGUCCAGGAGCGACACAUCUACCUCCGCGAGACGGCGCACAACUCGUACCGCCGCUUGUCCUACGUGCUCGCCAACUCCGUCGUGUCUUUCCCGCCGCUGGUCAUCCUGUCCCUGGCGUUCGCGGUGACCACGUUCUUCGCCGUGGGCCUCGCCGGCGGGGGCGCCUCGUUCGCCUUCUUUGCGCUGAUCAUUCUCGCGUCGCUGUGGGCGGGCAGCGGGUUCGUGACGUUCCUGUCGGCGGUGGUGCCGCACGUGAUGGUGGGCUACACGGUGGUGGUGGCCAUCCUCGCCUACUUCCUCCUGUUCUCCGGCUUCUUCAUCAACCGGGACAGGAUUCCCAACUACUGGAUAUGGUUCCACUACAUUUCACUCGUCAAGUAUCCCUACCAAGCUGUGUUGCAGAACGAGUUCGGCGACGCCAGCCGGUGCUUCGCGCGCGGGGUACAGAUGUUCGAGGGGACACCCAUCGCCGGCAUGACGGAGGCCGUGAAGUUGAAGGUGCUCGGCGCGAUCAGUGCGACUCUCGGCACAAACAUGACGGCUGCCACGUGCGUCGUGACCGGCGCCGACGUGCUAAGGCAGCAGGCCGUCACGGACCUCGGGAAGUGGAUGUGCCUCCUGGUUACUGCGGCAUUCGGCUUCUUCUUCCGUGCUCUCUUCUACGUCGUCUUGCUCGUCGGGAGCAAGAACAAGCGCAAGUAG